rnacentral:lncRNA from 1 species
GGUGGAGGUGAAAUGCCACUAGUGUGGUGUUAACACAAGAAAAUUGAUAUGUAAACCAUCUUUCUCACUGCUUUUUAGUGAUAGGGUGAAUCAUGCGGUGGUGAUUGCGAGGACUUCGUUUCCACUGAUAUGUCAAUUGAUAUGUAAAUUGAUAUGUCAGCUUGUGGUUUGCGAGGACUUCGUUUCCACUGACUAAAACUUGGUUGUCAGCACAGCAUUCCUCACGUC